AUUGAACGCUGGCGGAAUGCUUUACACAUGCAAGUCGAGCGGCAGCGCGGGGCAACCUGGCGGCGAGCGGCGAACGGGUGAGUAAUGCAUCGGAACAUGUCCAUGUCGUGGGGGAUAGCCCGGCGAAAGCCGGAUUAAUACCGCAUACGCCCGAGAGGGGAAAGUGGGGACCGCAAGGCCUCACGCGAUUGGGUUGGCCGAUGUCCGAUUAGCUAGUUGGCGGGGUAAUGGCCACCAAGGCGAUGAUCGGUAGCUGGUCUGAGAGGAUGAUCAGCCACACUGGGACUGAGACACGGCCCAGACUCCUACGGAGGCAGCAGUGGGGAAUUUUGGACAAUGGGGGCAACCCUGAUCCAGCCAUUCCGCGUGAGUGAAGAAGGCCUGGUGUAAG
rnacentral:rRNA from 1 species